CCAGUGUGGAGACCCCAGGAGGUCACCCUCCCUGGGCUCUGUCCAGGUGGUGCAAGGGAGCAUAACGCUUUGCCCAGGGAGGUACAGUCCCUUUCCCAACAUUGGAGAUGAAGCUGGCCUAAAGCAUAUGCCUGCAUAGUCCUGCAGCUUCUCAGAAUCCUAUGGAAAAUGACUGAGAAGACAAACCAUACAGGAAGCAGCU
rnacentral:snoRNA from 1 species